ensembl:lncRNA
AUGCUGACGAUCAUGGCCAUGCGCUGGAACCAACAAAAGUUUGACAACUUGGCUUCUACCCUUGCCCGCCGAUAUCGGAAGGCCACAAUAGCCCUGCAAUGCCAGUUGCAUAACCUGGAGGCCAUGAAAAGCGGAAAUGGGACGUCUCAGACAAUCAACUGGAGAGGUGGAUCAUUGAUAUCAAUGAGUGGGCAGAAGCAACAACAUCCCCAAAUGAUGCUGAUGUUGCCGCUGUUGCCAGCCGAAUUGAGGAGCUGGUGGCAAGUGUUAAGAGGAGGUCCCAGCGUCUUUACAAGGAUAGUGACGGAUGCAAAGGGACGUGCCCGAAUCCGCCGAAAGAUCAGGGAGGAAAAUCUUAAAUUCUGUAGUGGAAAAGUACAACACCUUGGUUCCUAAUGCAGAAAAACUGUCAUUGGACACCAUUCUAUCUGACGAGAUUGUUUGGCCAUGGCAGCUUACACACGGUGGUAUGUACACAAUUCCAUUGUCACAUAGUGGGACAAAAUCUGUCAUGCCUCGAUUUUACACCUGAAAAUCUCUAAAUACUAAUCUCAAAUACAACCGACUUAUGUUUCAUCUAUGUAUUCCAGACUCUGUUGAUCUAAGGACAAAGAGGAAGGCGUUCGACAUUGUGAUGGCAGUAAGGAGACUUGAGGAGGAGAAGAGGAUUCUUAUUGCAGAGAUGAACAAGCAUUGGAAGUCUCUUUGCUCCCGUGCAGACACCCUGAAGCAGAUGUCAUCCAAGCUUUCUAAUGUGACAUCAGGUAUGUAUUUGUUAUACUUGGCAUACAUUACAAUAUUUCUGAAUGUUUUUAAUUAAUAAAGGCUCAAUAUGUUUUAACAUGUAAGGUGAGACUUGGGGCCUGCUUCAAGAUGGUAUCCGAGGUCUACAAAGCUUGACGAUGAAGAACAAGCGAGCAAGCAACAGCCUGGCAAAGCAUGCAAAGAAAUAUUAUGUUCAAGUUCUGACUGAAACAGAAAUUAACUUUGAUAGUGAUUCUGAGGAAUACCAUACCAGUAGUGACUCUGAGCAAGAUUAAACAUGGCCAGAGUCCUUUUUAUGCUGUUGUGUGCUGGGGAGGCAGCAUUAAAGAAGAGGGCCGCUGGGACAGGUUGUUAAGGAAAGCUGGCUCUGUGUUUGGCAUGGAGCUGGAGUUAAUUAUUUAACAAACUGAGGAUAAUUUGCAGUAGCAGUCUUCUGUCAUGCUCAACAUUGAGGAGGUCCUUUGUCCCCAGGGCAUACCAGCAACUCAAUGUCACAGAAAAGGUUAGGGGAGAAAUUGACUUUUCAGCAUGAGUCUCACCCUGCGCCAACCAUUACAUCGCUUUGUCUAUUGUCUAGUAUCCACUAUCCAUUUGACUGUCUUACAGGCUACAUUAGCCCCCUCUACACAUUCUGAACUGUGGUUUCAACAUUUACCCCUGUUGGCUUGUAUAAUCUUUUUUUCUUUUUUUAUAUAUAUAUUUAAGUUUCUGUUUUUUUCUAUCUAUUUUUAACUUCUUUGUAUUGUUUUUGUUAAGCAAUACUAUUAUGCUCAGACUCUUUUUUUCCAUAGUCAUAUUAAACAUGCACAGCUUUGCACUGAUUAAAUCCCUGCACUGUUUACUUUUUGCACUACCACCACUGCAAAUCACUCUAUAGUUGCCCAUCAUGUAUCACAGGGUCAGUCCCUACCAGGCCUUUGUAAUCACUUGACAUGCUCUUCACUUUUUUUACAUUUGUGAUUUUUUUGUUAUGUGUCUGAGUUGUGUGUUGUUUUUGUGGUUGUAUAAGCUAAUAAAUGCCUAAAAUGUGGUGUGUCGUCUUAAGUAGCCUACUGUGUCUGUACUAGGGGGAAGAAGACAUUUCAUCAUGACAGUUUCCUCCAUCUCCUAGAGACAUCUUACAUGGAUACACAGAUAACAUUUAUUCAC